ncrna:Heliconius melpomene (postman butterfly) microRNA hme-mir-2755 precursor
UUGGUAGAACAAGGUGGCCUAGCAGCGUGUUUUCCUCUAAGUUUUGCACCCUGUCAGACCAUACUUGUUCUAACG